UGUCCAGUAACUCCUAUCCCUACCUCCUCGCGGUGCCGCCUGGGGUACGAGAAACCAUAGGAAAGA
rnacentral:ribozyme from 1 species